GUCAGCUGUCGUGUCCCAAGGACACUCAGGCAGCCCAGUGGAGAGGCCCCUGGGGUCUCCAGCACAUUCAUGUGAGUGAAGUCCUCAAGGAAGCAGACCCUUCAGCUACAGUCAAACCUGCAGAUGCCUACAAACCUGGCUGACAUUCUGACAGCAAUCGCAAGAAAGCUCUUGAGACAGAUUCCUGACCUGCAGAAAGCAUGAAAUUAUGAUUGUUUGUGGUGUUAAACUGCUAAAUGUGGGGUAGUUCGUUAAAUAACAAAAGAUAACUAAUGGAUCCACUUUCCAGAAGCGUGAUGAGGAAUGAGCAAGAUAGAGCAGAUCAUCAAAUCCCCAAAGACUCGCUAUAAAUCGCUCCGCUUCCAUCCCAUAAUGACUUGGGCAGAAACAUUCUGAAUUAAAUGACGCUGUGACGUGAUUUAUGUACAUCUGGACUUUCAACCCAAUGACUUCCCAGCACUCCAUCAAUCUUUAUAAAGUCCUGGCAAUGUACUUGAAAAGAAUUGCAACGCUAAUGGAGGCAAGUCUGGACUCUUUAAAGUCUAGAGAUCUCACAGCACUUAUCUGCUGACAGCAACAUUAAGCCAGCCACAGUAAAAUUCUCAGGCAGUUUCCCUGGAAUACCAAAGACUCACCACCUGAGGGCUUUUCCCUUGAAACAUAUCCUGUUGCCGCCAGAAGUCGCCCCCAAGAACAGCCUUCAACCAGAGAUUUCCAGAAGUUGGUGAAUAAACACCCCGACUGCUUGGCUUUA